AAGAAGGCAUUUGAGGGUAAGGGCUCAUCACUGGAAACCGUGUUUGCCGACACGGGAAUUUGGUACCAGGCUAAGUGAUCUUGAGUACUUGACUUUAUGUCAUUCCCAAAUUGGGAUUAUAGGUAGGAGCCCGGGCUAAGUGAUCUUGGGCACUACCAUUGGGUCGAGACACCAUGCUGUGUGAUCUUGUGUGUCUUCCCCUCACGUAUACUCUAAUCUCGGCGGCAACCGGGGUUUUAAAGUUGGUGUAAAUUAUGUAAGGUAUUUCACCUAGCUCAGUUGCAUUUCAUUGUUAUUGAAAACAAUUACAUUAUACCCAUGUGUUUUCAAAUAAUUUGAUAUGAAACUAAUUUAUAAUGGCUUUCACCUAUAUUGUGUAAAAAUAUUAUACUUCUAUUUUGAUUUCUCUGCAUACCAGUACUUUUGCAUUGACCCCCUUCUCUCCCAGGUUCGGAGGCACAGUCUAGGAGUCUAGAUAACAGUAAAUUUCUUUCGACAGAUCGCAGAAUCAAGUGGGGAGCCUUCUAUAUUUUGAAAGGUCUAACGUCUGCUAUUUCAUUUAUCAUUUAGUAGUUUUGGGUCUACUGGGGGCCUUGUCCCAGUUUUCAGAUAGACAUUGUUUCAGUCAUAUAGUAGAGAUUUCGCAGACUGUAUUAGAGAUGUUAAUUUAGAUUGCGGGACACUAUUCCCCAUUUUCAUUUUCGUAUGAUUCUUGACCAUGUUUCCGUUAUAUUGUGUAUCUUCCGUAUUUCUUUUGUCAUGAAUUAUGUGCAUGAUAUUAGACAGAUAGAGGUGUUUCGGGCCUUUAUGGUUCGGAAUGCUUGUCACGGCUAGGACCCCAGUUUGGGUUAUGACAAACUUGAUAUCAAAGCACGAUUCAUGGUCCCAGGGUGUCUGCGAAAUUACAUUGAGUAGAGUCUUGUUUAUGGGUGUGUAGCGCACCACACUUAUAAGCAGGAGGCUACUAGGCGUUUAAGAAUGUCUCUCUUUCUUCAUGUUCUAGUUCGUGCAAUAGAGUCAGAAUGUUCCUCUUUCAUACUCAAAUUUGUGCUAUGGUGUCGCCCAUAUGAAAGUAAUAGUCAUCCCAAUUCUUUCCUUACUCGAACAUUCUCAGACAUGUCUCAUCAUUGGGCUGAUUCAAGUACAGAAGUUUAGAGUCUAAAUGGUAUGGUUCGUUCAAUUCGAAUCAUAUAAGAUUUUUGUAGGGACUUGAGAAGAGUCCGUUAGUGCUUCAGAGUGUGUUGGUUUUAGUGUGAACCUUGAUUUUGAUGAAAUCGUGUUUUUCAGCCUGCAGUAUUAAGUUUAUUCAGUUCUUUUCAGAACUUAUGUUGCCAGUGUCACGCUUCAGAGGUAAUAAGGUGUAGCAGAAUAUUGGAACCAUAUUUCCACCCAAAUAGUAGCAUAAGUUAAAGUGUUGUUUUCAUGACCUAUUAGUAGUGAUAUUGGACCAAGAAGUUGGUGGUGUAAAGUCACAAAGUUAGAAGUCAAAGUGAGGGUGAUUUUGUGUAAAUGAAUAUUUCUGUUGAAUAACCGAUGUUUGAGGAUGAUUUACCCCUUUAUAGUGAUAAACUAAUAUGGUAGCUAGUAGCGUAUGUGGAUGGUAUGGUAGUCCAUGGAGGAAGUGUUUUACUCAAAUUUUAUUUAUACAGAAUAAUAUGUAUAUUUUUAGACCAUUAAAUAUUAUGUGUCAAUUUUCUAUCCCCUGUAAUAUGUAAUCUUGUUAUCAUGGUGUUUUUGAAAAAAAAUAAAUUAAAGUCUAGUGAAGCCGUGUGGGUCUCUUUCGAUUCACUAGCAUAUUUGCCUUGUCAUCCAUCUUAUUUUCUUGUUCAAAAUACAAAAUCAAAGUCUAGUGAAGCCGUGUGAGGUCUGUUUUGAUUCAUUAGCAACUUGUUGUUCUUUCGUUGGUUUAAUAUAUGUAUGGCUGAAUCUGUUUGCAUGAGAUUGAGUUGGUAAAGAGGUAAUUCAUCCUUGUGAGUUAGUUUAGUAUAAGGUAGAGAAGGAGUUUUUAGUUAGGGUGAUUUGUUGGUUGCUUGAAUGUGAAAAUGGCUAUAAUAACGAGAAGUUAUGGUUAUAGACUCAUGCUUGUUUGAGGAAUUUGAAGGCAGUCUAAAUGUAUGAUUGAGUGAGUAAGUAUGAGGUGAGAAAUCCGUAUAAGUAGAAAAGAUUGUAUGGGGUUAUAAUAUAAGAUUAAGGUUGAUCAUGUCUUUUAUGUGACCUUACCCCUUGACCCUCUUUUGUUGGUAGUUGUAAACUAGUACUACUUAUGAGAAAGUAUGUAGCAGAUUUUGAAGUAUUUGGGAUAGAAUGUUCCAAUUUAAUGAUUAGUAUAUUAUGUUGCACUCAUCAUUGGUGGUAGAUGAUUAAUGCUAGACCAUUGGCUUGAAUUUAAUGUAGGAUGUGGAUGUAAGAAUAGUGGCAUAAGAUUAAUGAUGUAUAUUUGUGGGAAUAAAUAUUAGUAGGCUUGAUGUGUUGAAAUAGUACAUGCUAAUGAGAUAUGACAAGGAAGACCAUAAGGUCAAGGUCGAUUAUUGUUGUUAUGAAGUUCUAGUGUACUAGUGUUUCUUGAUGUUUAUUUAAUGGUUUCCAAGUGAGAAUCAUGCGUAAGGUUGGGUUGUAAAAUCAUGUUUAGCACUAGACAUUAAGUUUGACCAGUUGAAGUUGAUAAAGGUAGAUGUGAUGAUUUUCUGAUCAAUGAUGUUAGUUAUAUGAAAGUCAUCUAAUAGGCUAGAACGAUGUAUGAAAUGACUUAAGUUUAAAUUGAUUCGUAAUGAAGUAUAAUGUUGUAGGUAUGGUGUAGAAGUAUGCCAAGGUGAUAUGAGGUUGCGGCAUAUUUUUCUAAGACUAUUACAUAAUUUGUGUGGCUAGUGGUACCAUUGAAUUGUUAAGUGGAGAAAGACUAGUUAGAUGGUAUAUGGUGAUCUAAAUAGCCAUGUUAAGUGUUAGAAUCUAAGUUUGAGUUCUGAAGGUUGAAUUGAUAGAAUAAGUGUGCAAGCAUUAUACUAUGACUAUUGGUGGCUAUGGAAAGAUAGAGUGUAUCCUGGAAGGUAGUCAUUCGGGUUAAGUCCUAUGAUAUGCAUGUAUUGUCAUUUUUUUCAGACCCUAGAGUGCACUAAGUGUAGUUCAGUUAGAAUCUGGUAAAGGAUCUCCCAAAUUUUAGAUGAUGACUUGAAGCUAAAGGGGAGAUGAUAGAACGAAUGACCAAGUAAGGCUCUCAGAUUUUAAUAGUGAUGCAGUAUGAUUUAGAACAUCUGAAUAUGAGGGUGAAUCUCAACCCAUUCCUACCUCAGUAUUUUUUUUUAGUUAUCUGAAUACUUACUCAUGACUUACGAUCCAGUUCUGUGAUAGUAGUUCAUGAUUUCUGUAUAUAAUAGAAAGUCACGUACUCUUCCAGUUCCAAGAUAAUGAGUUCUAGUUCAUUCAAGUAGUCGAAAUCACAUUCCUUAUGUUAUGAACUCUAGUUGAGGUCAUACAACUCAUGACACAUGUACUCACUCUUUAUAGUGUGCUCAGUCCCGUAUAAAAAUCUUUUCAUGCUUCAGGAUCUUAUGUUUUAACCUUUUAGUGACCCUUCCUAUGCAAUGAUAGUGGUGAUGAUGUAAAUGUUCUUGUUGAUGGAAGAUCAUAGUAUGCUUGUUUAGAUACGGCCAUAAGUAUGAAGUAAGAUUUGGGGCGAACUCUUUGCUACAUGUGAUGGUUAGUGGAAAAUUUUGUGUGUGUAUGUUUUUAGGAUAGCGUGUAGGAGUUAUAUUGAUAAUAGUGUAGAAACUAUGAGAAGUAUGUAUUUAUGGGUGGUUGCCUUGAAGUUAACAUGUGGUUAUAAAUUAGGCUUAAAUGACGUUUUGGGAUUGUAGUGGAAGGUCGCAAUAUGCAUUAGCGACUUCAUAUUAAGAGUUCAGAGUAGUCAUUGAAGUGGUAAGGCAUGUUAUGCUUAGAAUGUGAUCUUUAAAAGAGGUAUAGAAGGUGGCAUCAUAUGGUUUAGAAUAAUAGCGUGAUGUAGCAUGUUGUAUUUUUGUGACUUAGAGCUAGGCUUGAUCACGGAGUAAGGAUUAAGCUAUUUUAGACAUUAGUAGAAAAAUUUGUCAAUGCUCAUAUGAGAAAUUUAAGCUGAAUUAAAUGAAUAUCAUAUUUAUAGGGAAUAGUAUAGUUAAGGGAUAUUCGGGAAGUGCGCUAAGCCUGAAAGUAAGAAGUUGUAUUGCCAAAGGUCUGAAAAUUCUAUCCUAAUUUAGGAGUUAUAUGUCUAUAUUCCAGACUGCAGAGUAGUGUCAAUGUUGUGAUUUCCUCAACUGGAUGUCUUGUGUAAUCCAUACCCAAGAUUCAUGGCUCCCUAUUACCGCUAGAAUUUCUUUAGAGAAUUGUGCUGAAGAGAUACUCCAGUUAAGUAUGAGGGUGUAGUAUAAUUCAGUCUGUAUGGCCAAUAAGUAAGUUUAGCAUGACUUGUUUUCUUUUCUUUGCACUUAUUCAUGCUACUCGAAAUCUUAGACAUGCUACUAUUUCAAGAUAGAGUAUACCAGUAGUUACGAUUAUAGCCCAGUUUAUGCAUCAUGCAUUAAGUUCAGAUUCCAGAUGUUCAGUUAUGAUUCAAUUUUUAGGCGCCCUAUGUAUCGCCUCAGUUUUCUGAGUAUCUUAGUGAAUUGAGCAUUCAUAGAGGGACAUAGGGUUCCAAGGGGGAGAUACCCCAUUCAGCUGUAUACAUAGAUUCUUAUUACAAGCUCCGCACCAGUUGACAUUGCGUAUUCAGUCAUACGUUCAUAUGUCAUGUAUUGCAAAUGUAUGUCCAAUAGAAAAAGUUCAUCUUAUCAGUGUAUUCAAUUCUGCGUUCAUGAGAACAACUUAGUAAAAAAUCCACGCAUCAAGUAUGCAUGUUCAUUAUGAGAAUUCAGCUUAUAAGUAGCUUCGGUCGUGUAUUCCAUGCAUCAGAUAUUGUAACGCCCUGCAUUUUGGGCUAGAAUAAAAACAAUGAUUUUGAUGCAUUGCUAAUCCCGAAGCCAUAAAAAAAUCCUAUGCCAAUACGGCAUGUUAAUUAUUGCGUAGCAUGUGAAUCCGCUCCAGCUUGAAUUUAGACCAUAGAGGUCCUUCAACUCAAGGACGAGUUGGAACUAUUUUGAUCGACUAAGUUUUAGUAGACGUUGUAAAAUAUGUCAGUUUCCAUCGACCAUAACUCUCUAUGUAUGUUGAGUUAGGAAGCCUACUAUGUGUCAAAUGAUAGGUAUUCGAGUUAGCUUUCCAACGAUACCAAUUUGCCUAAAAUCCGACACCCGAGCAAGAAGUUAUAACCUUUCAAAGUGAUAGCGACACCUAACCAAUUACCCAUGGCUACUGGAAAGCAUAGGCGAUAGCCUAGGCGGCGCCUAUGUAAAGAUAGACGAUAGCCUAGGCAGCGCCUAUGUAAAGAUAGGCGAUGGGAUGAGCGGCGCCUAUGUAAGAAUUCUGGUGAAUUAAACACUCCGUCUUAAGGACAAAGUGGUCCUUUUCCACUCUUCUUAGCCCUAAAACACGAGAUUUAGUUCCAAGGACCCCAAAAUACAUAUUCCUUCAUCAAAAGUGAUCAAGAUUCUCCUUAGGGUUUCAAAAUAAAAACCCAAAUAGUUCAAGAUUCGAUCGUAGGUUUUCAAAGAUAAUUACAUAUUUGAAAUCACCAAUCCGCAAGCUUCAAGAAACAUCUAUCAUCCUUGGAAAUAGAGGUACGUGGAGUUAUCCAAAAAUCUCAUGGGUGUAGUCUUUAUGAACAUGCAUGCUUUUAAAUGGGGGUUUUCAAUCAAAUGCUAAUAUCUUGCUUUCAAUAUGAUUUCUAAGUCAUUUUCUUUAUGUCAUGGGAAUUGUUUGCCUAUAUACUUCAAUGGUUGAAACCAUGCAUAUGUGAUUUGAGAUUUUCCAUGGAAGUUUGAUAAAUAUGAAUGACAAAUUAUUUUCAAAUUCCCAUGAUAAUGUUUUGAUACUCCAUAUUAUAUUGUGAUCAACAAUAGAGAGCAUGAAUUUGAAAUAAAUAUUGUUCACCACUAGUAAAUGAUGAGGCACCUUGGUUUUACAUGAUUAUGCAUAUGUGGAUGUGAUAUUGAUGACUUGCAAGUCGGGUAUGAUGAUACCCUACAAAAUACGAUAUGCGAUUGAAUAAGAUGAAAUUUGAAUGCAUUGAUUUUACAUGAGAAAGGUGGAUGCCCGAAGAAGGCGUUUGAGACACAAGCAUACUCUAAUCUCGGCGGCAACCGAGGUUUGACAAUUGGUGUAAAUUAUGUAGGGUAUUC
rnacentral:lncRNA from 1 species